UACAGAGGUCCCAAGCGUUAAUCGGAAUUACUGGGCGUAAAGCGUGCGCAGGCGGUUUGUUAAGUCCGUUGUGAAAGCCCCGAGCUCAACUUGGGAAUUGCAGUGGAUACUGGCAGGCUGGAGUACGGUAGAGGAAGGUGGAAUUCCCGGUGUAGCAGUGAAAUGCGUAGAUAUCGGGAGGAACACCAGUGGCGAAGGCGGCCUUCUGGACCAGUACUGACGCUCAUGCACGAAAGCGUGGGGAGCAAACAGG
rnacentral:rRNA from 1 species